rnacentral:rRNA from 1 species
ACAGGUGCUGCAUGGCUGUCGUCAGCUCGUGUCGUGAGAUGUUGGGUUAAGUCCCGCAACGAGCGCAACCCUUAUCUUUAGUUACCAUCAUUAAGUUGGGGACUCUAAAGAUACUGCCCCGGUUAACGGGGAGGAAGGUGGGGAUGACGUCAAGUCCUCAUGGCCUUUAUGUCCAGGGCUACACACGUGCUACAAUGGGUUGUACAAAGGGUUGCGAACUCGCGAGAGUAAGCCGAUCCCAAAAGCAACUCUUAGUUCGGAUUGGAGUCUGCAACUCGACUCCAUGAAGCUGGAAUCGCUAGUAAUCGUGGAUCAGCAUGCCACGGUGAAUACGUUCCCGGGCCUU